GAUGAAGAACGCAGUGAAAUGCGAUAAGUAAUGUGAAUUGCAGAAUUCAGUGAAUCAUCGAAUCUUUGAACGCACCUUGCACCCUUUGGACUGCUCCAAAGGGUAUGCUCGUUUGAGUGUCAUUGUUCUCUCACACUCUCUGAUCCUUUGGAUUUGGGGAGCAGUGGACUUGGGUGCUUGCUGCUUCCUUGUGGCUCACCUGAAAUGCAUCAGUGCAUCUCUCGAUUGGACAUAGUACGGCGUGAUAAGUGUCUUCGCCGGCACCUCAUAUGAGGGUGGCCGAUCGGGAGCUCUGUGCUUUCAAACCGUCUUCGGACAACGCUGACAACUUGACCUCAAAUCGAGUAGGACUACCCGCUGAACUUAAGCAUAUCAAUAAGCGGAGGA
rnacentral:misc_RNA from 1 species